rnacentral:rRNA from 1 species
UGCGUAGGCGGGCUAAUAAGUCAGUGGUGAAAUUUUCCGGCUCAACCGGGACACUGCCAUUGAUACUGUUAGUCUUGAGUUAGGUUGAGGUAGGCGGAAUGUGUAAUGUAGCGGUGAAAUGCUUAGAUAUUACACAGAACACCAAUUGCGUAGGCAGCUUACUGGACCUACACUGACGCUGAGGCACGAAAGCGUGGGGAGCGAACAGGAUUAGAUACCCUGGUAGUCC